rnacentral:rRNA from 1 species
CGUUGGUAUCUUAGUGGCGGACGGGUGAGUAACGCGUGGGUAACCUGCCUUACACUGGGGGAUAACACUUAGAAAUAGGUGCUAAUACCGCAUAACAGAGGGAGUCGCAUGACUUCGUCUUAAAAACUCCGGUGGUGUAAGAUGGACCCGCGUCUGAUUAGCUGGUUGGCGGGGUAGCGGCCCACCAAGGCGACGAUCAGUAGCCGGCCUGAGAGGGUGAACGGCCACAUUGGGACUGAGACACGGCCCAAACUCCUACGGGAGGCAGCAG